UGGGGAAUUUUGGACAAUGGGCGAAAGCCUGAUCCAGCAAUGCCGCGUGUGUGAAGAAGGCCUUCGGGUUGUAAAGCACUUUUGUCCGGAAAGAAAUCCUUGGUUCUAAUACAGUCGGGGGAAUGACGGUACCGGAAGAAUAAGCACCGGCUAACUACGUGCCAGCAGCCGCGGUAAUACGUAGGGUGCAAGCGUUAAUCGGAAUUUACUGGGCGUAAAGCGUGCGCAGGCGGUUUGCUAAGACCGAUGUGAAAUCCCCGGGCUCAACCUGGGGAACUGCAUUGGUGACUGGCAGGCUAGAGUAUGGCAGAGGGGGGUAGAAUUCCACGUGUGAGCAGUGAAAUGCGUAGAGAUGUGGAGGAAUACCGAUGGCGAAGGCAGCCCCCUGGGCCAAAUACUGACGCUCAUGCACGAAAGCGUGGGGAGCAAACAGGAUUAGAUACCCUGGUAGUCCACGCCCUAAACGAUG
rnacentral:rRNA from 1 species